rnacentral:lncRNA from 1 species
GAGAAGAUAUCCUGUGAUCUGUGGUUUCUGACAUUGACGAUUGGAGCUAUAGGUAUAGAUUGCGACGCACUUCAAUGUGGGCUUGGCGCUCCUAUGUAACUUGUGGUUGUACUCCUACUGCCUAAUUCUUUUCUGUUGCCCCUAUGCAUAUAUGUAACUCUCCUUGGCAUGUAGUCGAGAACUCGACAAGCAAUUUAAAUUCAAACUAGGUGGGGAAGCUCUCCAGCGAAUUGUUUGAAAAAAUAGUACACGAAUCAAAAACAUGAGCAAAAUAAGAAUUAGUGGGUGAAAAUAAUUCAGCUAUAUCAUUUGGACGACACAGGCUGUUCAGCUAUAUCUAUUGUUAGGAAAAAGAGAGAGAUGAAGCCUACCUGGUAUUGUCUAAUCUGCCAAUAUUGGAAAUAUCCUACCC